GGGGGUAUAGCUCAGCUGGGAGAGCAGCAGACUGAAGUUGUCAUCCCAUCUUGAUGAAUUUCUGAAGGUCCCGCGUUCGAUCCGCGGUACCCCCA